rnacentral:rRNA from 1 species
GACCAACUGUGCCCGCGCUUUUAACCCGCACACGUCCAACGGACCGGCCCUCCUUUUGUGGGGUCCUAAAGACGCCCACGGGUGACUAACACGUGCGUAACCUGCCCUUGACUUUGGGAAAACUUCAGGAAAUUGGGGCCAAUACCGGAUAGCCGAUCCUGCUGCAUGUUGGGGGGUGGGCAGAUUCGGCGGUUGGGUAUGGACUCGCGGCUUAUAAGCUUGUUGGUGGGGUAGUGGCUUACCAAGGCUUUGACGGGUAGCCGGCCUGAGAGGGUGACCGGCCACAUUGGGACUGAGAUACGGCCCAAACUCCUACGGGAGGCAGCAGUGGGGAAUAUUGCACAAUGGGCGGAAGCCUGAUGCAGCAACGCCGCGUGCGGGAUGACGGCCUUCGGGUUGUAAACCGCUUUCGCCUGUGACGAAGCGUGAGUGACGGUAAUGGGUAAAGAAGCACCGGCUAACUACGUG